rnacentral:tRNA from 1 species
CGAGGUGUAGCGCAGUUUGGUAGCGCACUUGGUUUGGGACCAUGGGGCCGGGGGGUUCGAGUCCCUUCACCUCGACCA